rnacentral:rRNA from 1 species
UACGUAGGGACCAAGCGUUGUUCGGAUUUACUGGGCGUAAAGGGCGCGUAGGCGGCAAUUCAAGUCAGCUGUGAAAUCUCCGGGCUUAACUCGGAACGGUCAGCUGAUACUGCUUUGCUAGAGUGCAGAAGGGGCAAUCGGAAUUCUUGGUGUAGCGGUGAAAUGCGUUGAUAUCAUUAGGAACUCCGGUGGCGAAGGCGGCACGCUGGACCUCUUCUGACGCUGAGGCGCGAAAGCCAGGGGAGCAAACGGG